rnacentral:sRNA from 1 species
GGUUGGCACAAGAUUACAACCUACAAUUUCAAUGCCCUUCCCUCUCACACAGCUCAAAUGGAAGGAAACUGAUUAACACAUAGAAAGGAACGGCAGGCUCACAUGUUUAAGCAUUUGUUUUUACAAAAAGGAGUGGGAUAUGGGGGUGGUCAAGUUUUACGGGUAGUAACAACAUUCUCUCUAGAUGGCAGGGGGUAAGUCUGCCUGUCCUCCAUUGCUGGUACCACAUAAGGGACACAUUAGUAAAGUAGGGAAAGGGUUAUAUGUGUGGCUGGCCUGUUCUUUAGAGAGGAAGGUGGGAUGGUAUCUGCUGUGUACCUGUCUCAGACCAAACCUGGGGCUGGACCAGUGCCCCUUUCUUCUCAGCCCUCCUCCACAGCCUGACUGUACUGCCAGCCGCGCCCAUGGGAAGGAGGUGUGAAGGAAGCCUGAGGACAUCCGCCUCGAGAAAAGGAAACAGUAAAACUAUUUCCUUCCGCCUUCUCUGGACCAAAUUUCACUCCCCUCAGCUCCAGAGAGUGCUGCAAAAAUCUUCCUUAGGGACGCUGUGAAGACACGGGGAAGAGGCCAGCCCAGACAGGUAGUCCUGAGCGGCAAGAAGAAAAGCUUGAACUUUCCAUGCAGUACCAAGCAAGGCUGUUUUGGAAACAAGCAAACAAAAAAUGGAAACCAACACCAUAUAACCACAGGUUGGGAGCUCCUAAAUCCUGGACAGCAUUUGGAUUGGGGGUAAGGGCAAUUUUACUCCAGCUCCUUGUUUUAUAACCCACACAAGGUACCAAGAGGUUUAAGGACCACAACUGACCUCUCUUUCCCUACAAGCACCAUUCCUUGGAUUCCCAGUUUUGUUGAGCUCAUUUGAGGUCAUCCUUGCCAUCCUCUUCAAAAAAUGACACAGUCUCUUGGUUGUUCCAUUUUCUAUCCCUUUCUACAAUUAUGAACACACUCUCUAAACAGGAGAUCUAUAUAUGCUCUCAUCCUGCAGCCCAAGAGAUUAGGUGACCUAAUGAUGAGAAGGCUAACUUAUUUGCUUUCCUGAGUGGUCCUGAUGGAAAUGAACAGCAGCAGAGUUCUGGUGGGAUAAAGCAGUCUAGUCUGAGCCACUGUGUGAUUUCCCCAGGGGACUGGUCCCUGGGUACAUGGGUCCCUGGCUCUCUGUCUCAGUUCCAGAGUUAUUACUCAACUUGGCCAUUUAAGCCUCAGCUAAAACAUAUGAGCAUGAGGGAAAAGGGACAAGAAAUACUUUUGUCCUCUAGAAAAACUUAACUCAAUACAUCUUGGCUACUUUGCCUCAACCCACAGGGUUCCCUGGAAACAUUUGUUGAACUUGGCCAAGAGGAGAUUGUAUAUGGAUGGCGCACCUGGAAAAGGGGAGAAAGCACACUAGUUCAUCUCUUUUAUAAGUAGAAUGGUCCCAGGGAUGUUAACCUUUCUGAUGCUGAUGGUAGAUGAAUGGAGUGGAGGUAAUCAUGUGAGAAAACUCCUUAAAAACCCUUAAGCUGUUUGGAGACUACACACCACAGUGGGGCAAACCAAGGUGGGGCCUCACUGCCUCCUCAGAGCCCAUCCCUGACCAUGUCAUUGGAUAGGAUGGAAGACAAAGUCUUUGAAAUGGAGGCCAGGCUGGCAAAGUAAGUAUGAAGAUGCUACUUCUGGCCUUCCACUUCCUCUCUGUGAUACACCUAAGAAGGUGAGAGACACUUGCUUCAAUUCCAUUUUACAACAGUUCUCAACAUCCUGAAAUACUCUUGACUUCCUUAAGCACAUGGAAAAUGGGUAAGCUAUAUCUUUCUAACUGAAAUUUUACUUAUUCUAACCACCAACCUUUUCUUUGAUUAUCAACCAGUUUGACAGUCUUCAGAUCACAAAACAAUAGAACAGACCUGACAUUUACAAAACUGUACUACAUACUUAUUUCUUUUACAGUAGAGUUGACCAAUUACUUUUCUAACUAUUAAUGCAACACCAUGCCACUGGGCCCUGGACUCUGAUGUUUCUGAUCCCUGAGCAACACUUUAUGUCCAUUCACAGAUGGAAGUGAAAGAGUGAGAUUCUCAGAGGCUAAACAACAUUCUGGUAGCAAAUUGGAUUUUUGAAAGGAGAGUCCUCUUAGAAAAUUCUGAGCAAACAUGCUCUCAGUCACGGGGGAUGGGGUCAGGGGGCAGGUUUCUGUCUGUGAGCUAUAGCUCCCUUCUGAACUCCUUCAUGUUCUUGACAGGACACAAGCCUCUUGCUCAUUAAGCAAAGGCCCUCCAAGUCUUUUUACUUCAGCACUUUGGAAACUCUCCAAGACUUAACUUCAGAUCUGGGGAGGUUCUAUGUGGAGCAGACCUAUCCCUUCUUAUUCCUGUUCCUGGAUGUCUCCAUAAUCAGCCUCUACCUUCUCUGGCAUAAGUCGUAUCUGUUAUGCUGCAGGAACUGAGUAACCAAAGCUAGAUAUCCCUUGGACCACUGAUUAGUGACACAUUUUCUCCACAACAAAGGGAGGUUAAAGAUAAAGGUUUAACCUGAGAAACUUUUUUUUUGGCAAGACAAUAAAGAGGUUAAAGAGGCUACGUGGAUCUGUCACUGCUUUAGCUUACCAUUUUCGAUUCAGCACCAAAGUACUCAGGAAGACAGGCUCAGAUCAGGACGACUUCUUAAAGGGAUUCACAGGCAAUCUUAUGGGCAAAAUGAUUUUCCAAAGCUGAGCCACUUGCCCCACCCUACAGGGAGGGGAGUAGAAUCUUAAGGCCCAGCAUUGGCAUUGAGGCAUCUUGCUUUUUUUCCUCAGAAUUCCACAAAGGCUUAAGAGUGAUCUAAAUGCCUGGCUGGAAGCUCAAGUCUAGGAGAGCUAUUUUACUGCACUGUUGAGAUGUUCUCUGCAAGGUAGUCACAGAUAAUAAGCAAUUUAGUAGAUAAUUAUUCUAUACAAGAAUUAAUGUUCUCUGAAAAAGUGAUUAAUAGAAUCUUCACAUCUGGCCUGGCUGGGAGGCUUGGGGGCAGGAAAGGGAGGGUGGAAGGAUGGGUAGCACAUCAAAAUGGUGAUGAACCUGGCAAAACGACAAUGCUGCUGUUUUUGUAUCCUUUAAAGCCUAUAUCCAGGGUUUUAAAUGACGCUUUUUUUGUGUGCUUCCUGAUAGGAAGUCAAAUAAGUUUUAGUAUUAAGAACUGGGGAUAUAAACCAAAGGAAACCUAGAGUCAACUGACUGCUGGAGGAACAGAAGCAAUGACUUCUUUCCACCUUCUAGAUAGUAAUCUUACUUUUGUUGGCUAAAAGCACUUUCUUCAGCAUUCUGAGUUAACACGGGUUCCCUAUAAGCUCCCCUCCCCAGGUGGACAGUCUUAUUUUCUAAGACAAGCUCAAAGCUCAAACUCACCAAGUUACCACUGUAAACAAAGCUUCAGGGAAGAGACAUAACUCUUACUUCAAAAGCUUCAGGUCAGAGACAGCCAAAAUCAUGUGACUGCUAGCCUCAGCUCAAGUAGUGUGCCCAAAUCAUCACAAAAUGGGAUUCUCUUCCUAUUAAUUUUUUUUUUUUGAGACGGAGUCUUGCUCUGUUGCCUAGGCUGCAGUGUAAUGGCGGGAUCUUGGCUCACUGCAACAUCCACCCCCUGGGUUCAAGCGAUUCUCCUGCCUCAGCCUCCCGAGUAGCUGGGAUUACGGGCAUGCACCACCACACCUGGCUAAUUUUUGUAUUUUUAGUAGAGACGGGGUUUCAUCAUAUUGGUCAGGCUGGUCUUGAACUCCUGACCUUGUGAUCCACCCACCUCAGCCUCCCAAAGUGCUGGGAUUACAGGCUUGAGCCACCGUGCCCAGCCCUCCAUUUAUUAAUUUAUAAGGAGACUAGAAGGACAAACUAUUUGAUUAAUUUGAAGGUGAGAGGGAUCAUUUUCUCAGAUGCUCCAACUAGGCUUCUCACAUCCCUCAAAGGUUAUCAGCUAAAGACAAGAGUUUCUGAGGCUAAUGCAAAAACAUGGUCAAAUGUGAAACUGCCCUUUUAGAGGCAGGGUUUGUGAAAGGCUGCUGGCCUCCAAAGGAGAGUAUGCCUAAACUCUCUGGGCUCCCAGGACCUGUGGUGACCUCAAGCCAACCUGAUGCACAGACAACAGUAUCUUUUAGGGAUUGCAGCCAAUGUUCCCCAAUUUACUUUUUUUUAAUACCUUAAAAUAUCAAAUGUUUCAUUUUUAGGUGAUAUCCCAAGUGACACAGAAACACAGCUCCCCCGGAUGGUGAAGUCUCCGCUGCAAAACUCACCAGAGAGCACAGAGGAUGACUCUGGGGUGCUCUCCCACUUGCUCCAAGUUAGGUAGGUGCCCUGAUGGAGGCAAGGCUGAGCCAUUAACAUGCAUAGCUCCAUAUCCUGGAAGCCUCUAUAGCCUCGAGGAGAUAGGCUCUACCCAACAGGACUCAGAAUAAAUGACUGCCACCUCAACCGGGCAGUCUGACCUCUUCCACAGUCUUUAAGAAACAGAAGGGCCAUUUGCAUUAUUUAAUCACCAUUCAAUAAUCUCCUCCCUCCCCACAGCUGCUUGAGUUAACUGUCCCACAAGUGUCCUGUGUUUUGUAAAGAUGAGGCUUAUUUUCUGAAAUGCAGAUGGGACUAGGAUGAAGCUGUAUUAUCAAUUACAGCCAACUCUCAUUUCUCUUAAAGCAAAAAUUCAUUCCACUGUGAUUUCUCCAGGUAUUUCCUGCAAUUCUAAAUCCACCCUUGAUAUUAGAGAAUAUUAAAAUCACACAGUUGUGGCAAAAAUCACAUUGUGGCUAUUAAAUCCUUCUUGUGAACUAAAAAAAGUGAAUGUGGCUUAGGCUAAGCUGUUGUUGUUUUUUUUUUAAAGAUGAGGAUGGGGACUCCAACAAAGGCAUUAAGAAAGUACUAGAUGAAAAUGAGAAAUAUGUGAAGGAUAACAUGUGAAAUGUACACUCAGGUCUAACAAAUACCUAUUACUUCUCUGGUUAAGAAGGUUUAGCAGGAGCCUCCAAUGAGCACUGUAUGUAGAGAAAAGGGAAGGAGCAGGAGGAGGAACAGAUCUGCACAGAAUUUUUUUCUUAAAAACCACAAAGGGUGACUUUUUUCUUCUAAGCAAGCAAGCCUAAGAGGCAUUACAUGGGCUGGCUCCUAAUAUCAAAACAAAAUAUUUCUUUGCCACAAAGAAACUUGACUAUGUAGCAACACAUUUACAAAACUACUGCAAAACACUCCCAGAGGGCAGUGACCUACUCUGCUCCCCAGAGGCUGCAAGAAGCAAGGCCUCAAGUGCCUCACGUUCCAUGGGGCUGUGCAGUGCAAUGCAGAAGGCGGAAAUCCUGCUGUGACGCCACCCUUGAGACCUUCUGCAGCCUGAGAGGGGGUGAUACUCCCACACCCUUUGAUCCUUCCAGAUGGCUCGGCCUAGACCUAGCAGUGAGAGAGCCCUCUCCAUGCAGGGCAGAUGGAGUGGUGGACACUUGUAAAAACAAAACACUAACUGUUCCAUCCUGUUAUAUUUGCUAUGAGGAAAAUUAAGAUUCCUGUUUUAUGGGCUGCACUGUUUCUGGAAGGCUACAGAAAAUCUAACAUGGUUGACACCUCCUGGUAGCCCUGCUGUACACACACACACACCCAGAGAGAAGACAGAGAGAAAAAUCCUGGUCCAAAAUAUCACAUGACCUUACUAGUGUUUCCCCAAUGACUGUGAUUUAUAAACUAAAAAUUUUUAAAAAUCCACUGCUAUCUUCUUCUAUCCUGCAUUUGGUAGACUUUAAUGGAUGCUCUAGCAAUAACCAGAAUGUAGGACAUGCAAAUUCACUGUGAGCGAGAGGCUAGGGAUCUGCCCUAAACAUAGGAACCUGUUUCUAUCAAGCCUGAAUGAGGUCAGCUCUGGUAGAAUUAAUGACAAAUCAAUGUCAGUGAAAUAUUCUGCAAACAGGGUAGUUUUUGUGCUUUCUUUUGAUUAUUUUCUUUGGGGAGAUAAAGGUAUUGCAACCAUGGGUCUAACUAAUCUAUCACUAAAGGACUGUGACGACAUUCUCAGUAAAGACAGCCAUGGUGUUUACUGUGCCAAGGAGGGAAAAUCCCAGAUCAUCAGAAUCCCAGUGCAACAGAAAACAGCACCAGUUUCAACAAUUCUGAUGUUGGACAAAGCCUCUUUUUGUCAGUUAAGAAAGCAUAAGCACAAUCUCUCAGUCAAUUGCAUUAACAGGAAUCCAUUCAUGUCACUGAAAAAUACUUCUUGGCACAGUUCACUUUCCUGACCCAAAGACACCAACAACAAUCAAAACUGCACUUUCAGGGUAGUAUAUUGUUACACUAGCCCAGUCAAAACAUACUCAGAACAUUUAAAAAUGUGUAAAUUACUGUUAGCACUGCAGUUCCGUUUUAUUUUCUUAUUAAGCAGAGUCUUACUCUGUUGCCCAGGCUGGAGUGCAGUGGCAUGAUCUUGGCUUACUGCAACCUCCAACUCCCAGGUUUAAGUGAUUCUCAUGCUUCAGCCUACCAAGCAGCUGGGAAUACAGGCGUGCACCAUCAUGCCCAGCUAAUUUUUGUAUUUUAGUAGAGAUGCGGUUUUGCCACAUUGGCCAGGCUGGUCUCAAACUCCUGGCCUCAAGUGACCCACCUACCUUGGGCUCCCAAAGUGCUGGGAUUACAGGUGUGAGCCACUACGCCCCGCCCUGCAGUCCCUUUUUAAAGAGUACUGACUGUUUUCCUGCAAAGUACUUUCAAAUCCAUACCAUAAAGGUAGAAUUUAUCUGGAAGAAUGUGUUUCUUGAAUUCCACUUAGCACUUGGUUAAAUCUACUUUAUUUUGCCCUUUAUUUAUUUGAACAGAACUUUAGAAUGCUCUAGGUCAGGAUAAGAAACAGUGUGUUCAUUUUUAAGAAGGAUGUGUGAAUAGUAAGUUAGCAUUCAGACUCAAGUCCCAUGGUAUUGUUCUUAUCCAAUGGGACCUCUCCUUGGGAAUAUAAUUCCUUUCCCAGAGGUAUCAUGGUAUCCCAAGAAUACAACUGCUCUUUGGCUCUGUGUUUCAAGAUUGGGAGAGAGGAUGUAAACUAAGAGUAUA